AUUGAACGCUGGCGGCAGGCCUAACACAUGCAAGUCGAACGGUAACAGGAAGCAGCUUGCUGCUUCGCUGACGAGUGGCGGACGGGUGAGUAAUGUCUGGGAAACUGCCCGAUGGAGGGGGAUAACUACUGGAAACGGUAGCUAAUACCGCAUAACGUCGCAAGACCAAAGAGGGGGACCUUCGGGCCUCUUGCCAUCGGAUGUGCCCAGAUGGGAUUAGCUUGUUGGUGAGGUAACGGCUCACCAAGGCGACGAUCCCUAGCUGGUCUGAGAGGAUGACCAGCCACACUGGAACUGAGACACGGUCCAGACUCCUACGGGAGGCAGCAGUGGGGAAUAUUGCACAAUGGGCGCAAGCCUGAUGCAGCCAUGCCGCGUGUAUGAAGAAGGCCUUCGGGUUGUAAAGUACUUUCGGCGGGGAGGAAGGUGUUGUGGUUAAUAACCGCAGUAAUUGACGUUACCCGCAGAAGAAGCACCGGCUAACUCCGUGCCAGCAGCCGCGGUAA
rnacentral:rRNA from 1 species